UUACGUGGAUAAGGGAAGGUAGACGGAGUUAAUGUGGUAUCCACGUGGCUUAAGUGAUAAAAAAAAAAGACAUUGUUUGGGUGGCUUACGUGGACUACAAUGGUGUUUAUCUCUCUUGGUUCCUCGCCAAAUCCGUGAUUGUUUGCCCAAGAUUUAUCCAAAUUGAGCUUCGAUUCAACUUAGGAUACUGGCAUGAACUUGGUGCUCUCGUCAAUGUUCGUUGUCAAGAGCUUUCAAAGGCCAUCGUGCUUGGAUUUAAUGGGCUUACUCGGUUUGUUUGCCGAAAUCAUUUUGCCGAGUGCAUUGUUUUUGUUGCGCUGCACAUGCUUUUGGAUGCCAGGGCACGAAGAUUACAAUAGAUUAAGGCCCCCGAGCUCCAGAGGGGCAGACAUCUUUGUCUUGGCUUUCUCUUUAGUUAGUCGAGCUAGCUACGAGUUCACAUAGCUGAUGAUUUUACACCACAUAUUGUUCACACUGUUCCAUUCACCGAUCAUCUUGUUCGGUUCCGUUUUAAUGCUGUCAGUAAGCUGGUUUGAGCGGUUUGUUUUUCUC